AUACGUAGGGGGCGAGCGUUGUCCGGAAUGAUUGGGCGUAAAGGGCGCGUAGGCGGCCCGGUAAGUCUGGAGUGAAAGUCCUGUUUUUAAGAUGGGAAUUGCUUUGGAUACUGUCGGGCUUGAGUGCUGGAGAGGUAAGUGGAAUUCCCAGUGUAGCGGUGAAAUGCGUAGAGAUUGGGAGGAACACCAGUGGCGAAGGCGACUUACUGGACUGUAACUGACGCUGAGGCGCGAAAGUGUGGGGAGCAAACAGGAUUAGAUACCCUGGUAGUCCACACUGUAAACGAUGAGUGCUAGGUGUAGGGGGUAUCGACCCCUUCUGUGCCGCAGUCAACACAAUAAGCAUUCCGCCUGGGGAGUACGGCCGCAAGGUUGAAACUCAAAGGAAUUGACGGGG
rnacentral:rRNA from 1 species